CCCGACGUCCCGCGCAAGAGGAAACCGGCCGCCGGCCCUCCUCAGUCCCGCCGCCGGCAUCUUGGUCUUCCUGGUGCUGUCCCUCUCGCUCUCGCUCCCUGGACCGGCACCAGUGCUGCCGCAGCAGUCAUCCGCUGUCCGGCGGCCUGGGCGGCAGCAGCAACUGUGUAGACGAUGGGGCGAUGGAUCAGGUGAGGUCGAGCAAUCAGACGCCAAAUUAAACCGGGACAAGGAAGCCAUGGCCAGCGGAACGGAAGGAGGCACCGAACCGAACAAGUCAACCUGGGACCGUGAGCAAUCUAACGAAGCUUUGGAUGGAUUCGGUGCUAUGCUACCAAAGUACCAACUCGCUCGUCGCAGGCAGGUCACGUCUCUGGCACUCGGCAGGUUGUUGGGCUCCUCGCACGGAAAGCGCGGGGG
rnacentral:misc_RNA from 1 species